CAAGUCCUUCUGGCUGCGGUUAAAAGGGCUCACCAGCCUCUCCCUGAAGGUCUUGGCCCGGGAGCCUGUGUCCUCCAGGUAGCUGUGCUGUGGGGAGCUGGAGAGGACUGAAGAGCUGAGGAGGGCGAAAUGCAGAAAUGAUAAUGCCUCACAAGCUGGUUGUACAGAUUGAAUAACAAUGUGAACAGAGCACCGAGUAUAAUCCCUGGAAACAGCAAACCAGAGGUCCCGUCUGGCUGGCAUGAAUGGAAGGGCAAACGCUCCGACCAAAUUGCUCUGGGAAUGUCAUUCUAAUUAUUGGAUCCUGACCCAGCAGCAUGCUGAUAAGCUCUGGGUUGGAGACGCCCUAUCUCAGAGGAGCUCCAAACCUGCUCAAGGCCUUUUCUUGCCCUCUGCAACUUUCCUGCCAAGCAAUUAGCCUCCAGGGGAAGAAGAGGAAAUUGGAACACGGACACGCACAGAGGAAAGACCAAGUGAAGAUACAGUGAGAAGAUGGCCAACGACAAGCCGAGGAACAGGGUCUCAGAGGACCCCAACCCUGCUGACACCUUGAUCUCGGGCUUUCAGCUUCCAGCACUGUGGCAAAAUUCAUUUCUACUGUUUAGGCCUCCCGGUCUGUGACAUGUUGUCACGGUGGCCACUGAAGACUCAGACAGCUUCCUUCUAGCUCUGGUUCUUCUACCGGUGUGCUUUCAGGUGCUCCGGAGGGCCCGGUGGCAGGGAAAGCCAGGUCUCCAGGCUCCUGGCCCAGGGCGUGUUUAGGAGGCAGGGCCUUCUCUGACACAAGUAUGAGGAGCAGAGAGGUUUCUCUUCUUCAGUCUCCACUAGGUCCUGGCCUCCAUGGCUUCUAUAGGCAGGGACCUGGCCAGGGCAUUCACCAGAGACUUUGACAGGGAGUCCAGGCCCAGACCCCAUAGGCAGAGCCAGGAGCCCUGUGCCAGCUUCCCAGGGAGCACCGGGGCCCAACGUAGAGUCAAGAGCUGGCAUCAGCACAGGUGCAAGGUGGGGUUGGGAAGGGCAUGGCAGCUUGGGGGUCUGCAGUGCACAGGUGGCCUGGCAUGAGGUAGGUGGGCCGGCUUGAAGGUCUAGAAGAUGGAUAGACACCAGAGACUUGUAGUCUAUGUCUCCUUCUUGCUGUCCCCUGGAUGUCACCUCCCCUCUGCCCCCAGUGCUGAACUAACCCCCUUCAUCUUUUACUUGGGACUCCAUCAGUGACUCAUCAUUGCUUUUGGUGUGACUUACCAGCGGCCGCUCCGUCUGCCUCUUCCUUCCCCUCCAGGGUCAUUUUGAACACUCUUCCUUCCUGACAACUAAACUUUUCACUGUUUCCCAUCA
rnacentral:lncRNA from 1 species